GUUCGCUCAGCGCGCCUGCGCCCGGCCAUGCGGAAGGAGCAGUUCCCGGCGCUAAGCUCCAACGUGAGCUUCGGGUCCCGCUGGUAAGACAGGUGUUCUUAGGGGCCACUUGGCGUGGCUGGCGCCGGGGUCCAGUAAUGCACUGGGAGAGGGGCGGGGCCUGGGGGGCCCCGACCGGCGUCCCCGGAGAUCUGGUGGUGAGGAGAAGGGUGUCUCCAAGCUCUCAAGAAGGCUCCUGGCCGUUCCGGCUCGCCGCCUGGAUCAGCAGCCUCGGGAGCAGGCGGCUGGAAGCAGUUCAGAUCCGGAGGAAGCACACUCAGCACCCCUGUUCCGUCGUGCACUGCCGCUAAAGUCAUCUUGGAGCCUGGGCUUCCCCACCUGUGGCCCGGGAGCAGAUGCCUCCCCUGGGCGGGAGCUGCCUCGUAGGGGCUCCAGCGCGGGAGCGCAGGUCUGAGACGGCAGGCUCCUCUGGCAGGAGCGCGAGGGCCACAGCGCCCGGCGGGCUGCCUGUGGCGGGCCAGGUAGGGUCAGCCACCAGGGUCUGGACACUGGAAGCCAUCAGCAUAGACAGCGCGUGAAGUCCCCAAAUGAGUAUGGGUGGGGUGAGGUCUUGGGGAGGUCGGGAGUUGGGGGCGCGUAGAUAGUAAGUCCCUUGGUCCUCAAAGGACGUGGUGCAGAUGGGGUUCCCCGCUUGACCAGACUGCUCAGGCUCCAGGAGCUCUCCAGCUGGGCCUUGGGCCUCCAGUCUGGCACUGCAUCAGCCAGUUCUGGCUGCGGUCAGCUUGCCCAGACUCCCCAUCCUCAGUAUCUCAGCAGGAUUUCAUGUAGAUGUGGGGCUGCUACCAGACCUGCUUUCAGCAACGAUCCCAUUAGGUGGCAUCUGCCAGAACUCCACUACCUGGGUGAUUCCUCUUAGUAGCAAUUUCUCAUCACUGACACCCAACCUGCCUUUUGGCUACCAAUUCCCUGCAUUUGUUGCUGUGACCCCACUUCAGGUAGAGUGCCUUGGCGUCUUCCAGAAGUGUCCUGGCUACCUUGGAUUCAGACAACACCGCUGGGUGUCUCACAAGCAGGGAGCUGGAGAGCAGGCACAGGUGCAGGGAUGGUGCAUGUCCCUGUGAACCUGCUCAGGGCCAGUGUGCUCAGUGGACCAGCGGGCACUCAGAGAGGAGUCCAAAGCCAGGAAGAAACCACAGAUCCAAGGAUGUCUCCAACAGAGAAGUUAUCACCAGGUUUCUGCUAGUCGCGACAGCUCUGGCCUUGAAUUAGCAUUGGAAUCCUCUGCGGUGUGGAGGGGUCUGAACACCAGAAACCCAGGUGCCACCUCCCAAGCCUCUGCGUCGGUCACCUACUUCUCACGACAUGCUCGCGAUGUCAGGAUUACAAGAGGAGAGCGGAAACCUGGAUAUACUGUCCCUGAUCCCUGAUCCCGCCCCCCCUCCCCCACCCCCCCCCGGAAACCGUCGG